AGUUGGUUACUCGCUCCAUAAACUAUAUACAGUUCAUGAGUUUGUACACACACAAAAAACCUUUAAAUGCUAGGAACUAUACAUUUAUUAUUCAAAUGAACAUGUUCUAUUGAUAAUUAUUUUCACGUUACGAAUGAUUAAUUUCGAACAAAUUUUAUAUCAUGUCUUCUUCGUUUAGUUUUGUUUGUGAAAUUGUCCGUAUAACAUGGUUAUUUGAAAUUUUGACCG
rnacentral:lncRNA from 1 species